rnacentral:snRNA from 1 species
GGAUGCAAGCAUGAUCUGGCUGUGACAUUUGUCACCUGAUUGAUCACCAGGGUUGAGCUGGCUGAUCUGGCUGGCUAGGAGGGUGUCUCCUUCUUCCCCAGGUGCUCCAUGUGCAGCCCUUCUGAAGUUGCACACUUGGUUGGUCGAAGAGGAGACCAUCCUGAUAGAUGAAGACAGUUCCUAGGACAAGGGUGUAAGAGUAGCUGUGCUCCCCUGCUAGAACCUCCAGACAAGCUCGCAAAAAGUAAGAUCAACAGGUCCCAAAGCAAGUUAAAUUACACCUGAAGAUUUUGCCAAGCAUAUCCAUAAGUUUU